UGGGUUUAGAACGUCGUGAGACAGUUCGGUCUCUAUCCGCCGUGGGCGCAGGAGAAUUGAAGGAAUCUGCUUCUAGUACGAGAGGACCGAAGUGGACGAACCUCUGGUGCACCAGUUGUUUCAUCAGAAGCAUCGCUGGGUAGCUAUGUUCGGAAAGGAUAAGCGCUGAAAGCAUAUAAGUGCGAAACCUGACCUGAGAUUAGUUCUCCCUAUCAUAUUGAUAAUAAGGCUCGUUGUAGACUACGACGUUGAUAGGCCACAAGUGUAAGUGCAGUAAUGCAUUCAGCUGAGUGGUACUAAUUGGCCGAAUGGCUUUAUCAA
rnacentral:rRNA from 1 species